AAGGUCUUAGCUUAAUUAAAGUACAUGGGUUGCAUUCAUUUGAUGUAAGAUAAAGUCUUACAGAUCUUA
rnacentral:tRNA from 1 species